rnacentral:rRNA from 1 species
AUUGAACGCUGGCGGCAGGCCUAACACAUGCAAGUCGAGCGGAUGAGGGGAGCUUGCUCCCUGAUUUAGCGGCGGACGGGUGAGUAAUGCCUAGGAAUCUGCCUGGUAGUGGGGGAUAACGUUCCGAAAGGAACGCUAAUACCGCAUACGUCCUACGGGAGAAAGCAGGGGACCUUCGGGCCUUGCGCUAUCAGAUGAGCCUAGGUCGGAUUAGCUAGUUGGUGAGGUAAUGGCUCACCAAGGCGACGAUCCGUAACUGGUCUGAGAGGAUGAUCAGUCACACUGGAACUGAGACACGGUCCAGACUCCUACGGGAGGCAGCAGUGGGGAAUAUUGGACAAUGGGCGAAAGCCUGAUCCAGCCAUGCCGCGUGUGUGAAGAAGGUCUUCGGAUUGUAAAGCACUUUAAGUUGGGAGGAAGGGCUGCUGGCUAAUACCCUGCAGUUUUGACGUUACCAACAGAAUAAGCACCGGCUAACUUCGUG